UACGUAGGGUGCGAGCGUUAAUCGGAAUUACUGGGCGUAAAGCGUGCGCAGGCGGUUUUGUAAGCCAGAUGUGAAAUCCCCGGGCUUAACCUGGGAAUGGCAUUUGGGACUGCAAAGCUGGAGUGCGGCAGAGGGGACUGGAAUUCCUGGUGUAGCAGUGAAAUGCGUAGAGAUCAGGAGCAAUACCGAUGGCGAAGGCAGGUCCCUGGGUUGACACUGACGCUCAUGCACGAAAGCGUGGGGAGCAAACAGG
rnacentral:rRNA from 1 species